CCUACGGGAGGCAGCAGUCGAGAAUCAUUCACAAUGGGGGAAACCCUGAUGGUGCGACGCCGCGUGGGGGAAUGAAGGUCUUCGGAUUGUAAACCCCUGUCAUGUGGGAGCAAAUUAAAAAGAUAGUACCACAAGAGGAAGAGACGGCUAACUCUGUGCCAGCAGCCGCGGUAAAACAGAGGGCUCAAGCGUUGUUCGGAAUCACUGGGCGUAAAGCGUGCGUAGGCUGUUUCGUAAGGCGUGUGUGAAAGGCGCGGGCACAACCCGCGGACAGCACAGGAUACUGCGAGACUAGAGUAAUGGAGGGGGAACGGGAAUUCUCGGUGUAGCAGUGAAAUGCGUAGAUAUCGAGAGGAACACUCGUGGCGAAGGCGGGUGCCUGGACAGUAACUGACGCUGAGGCACGAAGGCCAGGGGAGCGAAAGGGAUUAGAUACCCGGGUAGUC
rnacentral:rRNA from 1 species